AAUAUGGACGGCUCCCCAUGUGCUAUGAAAUGAUAUUGCUAGGAACAAUUCUCAAAGACAUUAAUGGGACACAGGAUUCUUGAUAGUCCCAUACUCUCUCGUGGCUCCGACUUCUCAUAUAUAAAAAGGUAAACAGGGGAUCCCAAAAAGGUGCGCCUCCUCUCCCUCUCGCAAACGCUCUUUCCCACCUGUUGUGCAUGAAUUUAAUUUGAACGUCGG
rnacentral:lncRNA from 1 species